CAAGUCAUAGAAUAUAGAGCCUAACGGCCAUCACAAAAAUUCCUGUCACUGAAACUGGUACUUCAGCAACUGCCGCUGGCAAAGGAAGAGGGGCCUCGGCCUCUCUUCCAUCUUCCAAAGCACCGGUGUGCGAUUAACCCUAUUGGCCAGGGACCUCUCACCAUGCAGGAAUGGCUUCCACGAAGACCCCUACUGCUCACCGUGACAACUCCCUGGCUUUAUGACUUCAAGGUGCAGGGCCAGAGGCGACAUCACAAUGUGAAUUCGGAAGCAUCCCAUGGUGGAGGAGAAAAAAAGGCUGAAAUGUACAAAGCCAGAAGCUAGCCUGUGUAAUUUUCUUCCACUUACCAGAUGUAUAAAAUUGUAAGUGGAGAAUUUGGGACUCACUGAUGCCUAGUAAAAUGGAGGCUUUCUCCUAUCAAGAACAUGCUCAAUAACUGAGCUGACACAUUUAUGAACAUACCAGAUAUUUUCUGAUGGGCAUUACAAAUCUUAGAGUUUAUCAGCAUUCCAUUUAGAGGGCAAAACCCUCAGUAGUCCUACAAACAGUGUAUCUCAUAUGUUUAUGCAUAUCAACUAUCAGCAAUAGAAAUAAAAUUUUAAUGAAUCAUGCUGAAAGAAAAAUUCAGUUAUCUUUUUAUUUAUUUUCCAUAAGAUAUUACAAAAUCUUAUGGAAAAGUGAUCUAAGAUUGUAUAGCACAAAAAAGUUGGAAAAAACUUACAAAGGU
ensembl:lncRNA